rnacentral:rRNA from 1 species
GACGAACGCUGGCGGCGUGCUUAACACAUGCAAGUCGAACGGGCCUGUCUUCUUUUUUGGGGGUGGGUUGAGUGGCGAACGGGUGAGUAUCACGUGAGUAACCUGCCCUUCGGUCCUGGAUAACCGCUUGAAAGGGCGGCUAAUACGGGGUGGUCCGGUUGGUCCGCAUGGGCUGGUCGGGAUAGAUUCACUGUUUUUGGUGUUUCGGCGGGGGAGGGGCUCGCGGCCUCUCAGCUUGUUGGUGGGGUGAUGGCCUACCAAGGCGGUGACGGGUAGCCGGCCUGAGAGGGUGGGCGGCCACACUGGGACUGAGAUACGGCCCAGACUCCUGCGGGAGGCAGCAGUGGGGGGUAUUGCACAAUGGGCGGAAGCCUGAUGCAGCGACGUCGCGUGAGGGAUGGAGGCCUUCGGGUUGUGAACCUCUGUUUCCGGUGGUGAAGGCCCUGUCCGUGUGGUGGGGUUGACGGUAGCCGGGGAUGAAGCGCCGGCUAACUACGUG